rnacentral:rRNA from 1 species
AUACCGGAUGUGGCCACCCUGCGAUUGCAGGGGAAGCUAAAGGACUUAUUCACUUCCCGAGGGGCUCGCGGCCCAUCAGCUUGUUGGUGAGGGUAACGGCCCACCAAGGCGACAACGGGUAGCUGGUCUGAGAGGAUGGUCAGCCACACUGGAACUGAGACACGGUCCAGACACCUACGGGUGGCAGCAGUCGAGAAUCAUUCGCAAUGGGGGAAACCCUGACGAUGCGACGCCGCGUGGAGGAUGAAGGCCUUAGGGUUGUAAACUCCUGUCAAGAGGGAAUAAGCAAGUGAAGGUACCUCUAGAGGAAGGGGCGGCUAAUUCCGUGCCAGCAGCCGCGGUAACACGGAAGCCCCGAGCGUUGUUCGGAUUCAUUGGGCGUAAAGGGUGCGUAGGCGGCGCGGAAAGUCCGGCGUGAAAGGCAGGGGCUCAACCUCUGGACUGCGUUGGAUACUUCCGUGCUUGAGGACUGGAGGGGAGACUGGAAUUCACGGUGUAGCAGUGAAAUGCGUAGAUAUCGUGAGGAAGACCGGUGGCGAAGGCGAGUCUCUGGACAGAUCCUGACGCUGAGGCACGAAGGCUGGGGGAGCGAACAGGAUUAGAUACCCUGGUAGUCCCAGCAGUAAACGAUGUGAGCUUGAUGUGGGGGGAUUCGACCCCUUCCGUGUCGAAGCUAACGCGAUAAGCUCACCGCCUGAGGAGUACGGCCGCAAGGCUAAAACUCAAAGAAAUUGACGGGGACCCGCACAAGCGGUGGAGUAUGUGGCUUAAUUCGAUGCAACGCGAAGAACCUUACCUGGCCUUGACAUGCAUUGUGUCGUCGGUGAAAGCCGGCUAGUCCUGGAAACAGGACGCUUUGCACAGGUGCUGCAUGGCUGUCGUCAGCUCGUGUCGUGAGAUGUUGGGUUAAGUCCCGCAACGAGCGCAACCCUUGUGGUCAGUUACUAACCGGCUUAGCCGGAGGACUCUGGCCAGACUGCCCUGUCAAACGGGGAGGAAGGUGGGGACGACGUCAAGUCAGUAUGGCCACUUAUGGCCAGGGCUGCACACGUACUACA